UACGUAGGGUGCAAGCGUUGUCCGGAAUUAUUGGGCGUAAAGAGCUCGUAGGCGGUUUGUCGCGUCUGCUGUGAAAACGACGAGGCUCAACCUCGCGCCUUGCAGUGGGUACGGGGCAGACUAGAGUGCGGUAGGGGGAGAUUGGAAUUCCUGGUGUAGCGGUGGAAUGCGCAGAUAUCAGGAGGAACACCGAUGGCGAAGGCAGAUCUCUGGGCCGUAACUGACGCUGAGGAGCGAAAGCGUGGGGAGCGAACAGG
rnacentral:rRNA from 1 species